rnacentral:rRNA from 1 species
UACAGAGGGGGCAAGCGUUGUUCGGAAUUACUGGGCGUAAAGGGCGCGUAGGCGGCCUUCUAAGGCGAACGUGAAAUCCCCGGGCUCAACCUGGGAAUGGCGAUGGAUACUGGGCAGCUAGAGUGUGUCAGAGGAUGGUGGAAUUCCCGGUGUAGCGGUGAAAUGCGUAGAGAUCGGGAGGAACAUCAGUGGCGAAGGCGGCCAUCUGGGACAACACUGACGCUGAAGCACGAAAGCGUGGGGAGCAAACAGG